UACGUAGGGUGCAAGCGUUAAUCGGAAUUACUGGGCGUAAAGCGUGCGCAGGCGGUUUUGUAAGUCUGACGUGAAAUCCCCGGGCUCAACCUGGGAAUUGCGUUGGAGACUGCAAGGCUAGAAUCUGGCAGAGGGGGGUAGAAUUCCACGUGUAGCAGUGAAAUGCGUAGAGAUGUGGAGGAACACCGAUGGCGAAGGCAGCCCCCUGGGUCAAGAUUGACGCUCAUG
rnacentral:rRNA from 1 species